UUAAGCGACUAAGCGUACACGGUGGAUGCCCUGGCAGUCAGAGGCGAUGAAGGACGUGCUAAUCUGCGAUAAGCGUCGGUAAGGUGAUAUGAACCGUUAUAACCGGCGAUUUCCGAAUGGGGAAAACCCAGUGUGUUUCGACACACUAUCAUUAACUGAAUCCAUAGGUUAAUGAGGCGAACCGGGGGAACUGAAACAUCUAAGUACCCCGAGGAAAAGAAAUCAACCGAGAUUCCCCAGUAGCGGCGAGCGAACGGGGAGCAGCCCAGAGCCUGAAUCAGUGUGUGUGUUAGUGGAAGCGUCUGGAAAGGCGCGCGAUACAGGGUGACAGCCCCGUACACAAAAAUGCACAUGCUGUGAGCUCGAUGAGUAGGGCGGGACACGUGGUAUCCUGUCUGAAUAUGGGGGGACCAUCCUCCAAGGCUAAAUACUCCUGACUGACCGAUAGUGAACCAGUACCGUGAGGGAAAGGCGAAAAGAACCCCGGCGAGGGGAGUGAAAAAGAACCUGAAACCGUGUACGUACAAGCAGUGGGAGCACGCUUAGGCGUGUGACUGCGUACCUUUUGUAUAAUGGGUCAGCGACUUAUAUUCUGUAGCAAGGUUAACCGAAUAGGGGAGCCGAAGGGAAACCGAGUCUUAACUGGGCGUUAAGUUGCAGGGUAUAGACCCGAAACCCGGUGAUCUAGCCAUGGGCAGGUUGAAGGUUGGGUAACACUAACUGGAGGACCGAACCGACUAAUGUUGAAAAAUUAGCGGAUGACUUGUGGCUGGGGGUGAAAGGCCAAUCAAACCGGGAGAUAGCUGGUUCUCCCCGAAAGCUAUUUAGGUAGCGCCUCGUGAAUUCAUCUCCGGGGGUAGAGCACUGUUUCGGCAAGGGGGUCAUCCCGACUUACCAACCCGAUGCAAACUGCGAAUACCGGAGAAUGUUAUCACGGGAGACACACGGCGGGUGCUAACGUCCGUCGUGAAGAGGGAAACAACCCAGACCGCCAGCUAAGGUCCCAAAGUCAUGGUUAAGUGGGAAACGAUGUGGGAAGGCCCAGACAGCCAGGAUGUUGGCUUAGAAGCAGCCAUCAUUUAAAGAAAGCGUAAUAGCUCACUGGUCGAGUCGGCCUGCGCGGAAGAUGUAACGGGGCUAAACCAUGCACCGAAGCUGCGGCAGCGACGCUUAUGCGUUGUUGGGUAGGGGAGCGUUCUGUAAGCCUGCGAAGGUGUGCUGUGAGGCAUGCUGGAGGUAUCAGAAGUGCGAAUGCUGACAUAAGUAACGAUAAAGCGGGUGAAAAGCCCGCUCGCCGGAAGACCAAGGGUUCCUGUCCAACGUUAAUCGGGGCAGGGUGAGUCGACCCCUAAGGCGAGGCCGAAAGGCGUAGUCGAUGGGAAACAGGUUAAUAUUCCUGUACUUGGUGUUACUGCGAAGGGGGGACGGAGAAGGCUAUGUUGGCCGGGCGACGGUUGUCCCGGUUUAAGCGUGUAGGCUGGUUUUCCAGGCAAAUCCGGAAAAUCAAGGCUGAGGCGUGAUGACGAGGCACUACGGUGCUGAAGCAACAAAUGCCCUGCUUCCAGGAAAAGCCUCUAAGCAUCAGGUAACAUCAAAUCGUACCCCAAACCGACACAGGUGGUCAGGUAGAGAAUACCAAGGCGCUUGAGAGAACUCGGGUGAAGGAACUAGGCAAAAUGGUGCCGUAACUUCGGGAGAAGGCACGCUGAUAUGUAGGUGAGGUCCCUCGCGGAUGGAGCUGAAAUCAGUCGAAGAUACCAGCUGGCUGCAACUGUUUAUUAAAAACACAGCACUGUGCAAACACGAAAGUGGACGUAUACGGUGUGGACGCCUGCCCGGUGCCGGAAGGUUAAUUGAUGGGGUUAGCGCAAGCGAAGCUCUUGAUCGAAGCCCCGGUAAACGGCGGCCGUAACUAUAACGGUCCUAAGGUAGCGAAAUUCCUUGUCGGGUAAGUUCCGACCUGCACGAAUGGCGUAAUGAUGGCCAGGCUGUCUCCACCCGAGACUCAGUGAAAUUGAACUCGCUGUGAAGAUGCAGUGUACCCGCGGCAAGACGGAAAGACCCCGUGAACCUUUACUAUAGCUUGACACUGAACAUUGAGCCUUGAUGUGUAGGAUAGGUGGGAGGCUUUGAAGUGUGGACGCCAGUCUGCAUGGAGCCGACCUUGAAAUACCACCCUUUAAUGUUUGAUGUUCUAACGUUGACCCGUAAUCCGGGUUGCGGACAGUGUCUGGUGGGUAGUUUGACUGGGGCGGUCUCCUCCUAAAGAGUAACGGAGGAGCACGAAGGUUGGCUAAUCCUGGUCGGACAUCAGGAGGUUAGUGCAAUGGCAUAAGCCAGCUUGACUGCGAGCGUGACGGCGCGAGCAGGUGCGAAAGCAGGUCAUAGUGAUCCGGUGGUUCUGGAAUGGAAGGGCCAUCGCUCAACGGAUAAAAGGUACUCCGGGGAUAACAGGCUGAUACCGCCCAAGAGUUCAUAUCGACGGCGGUGUUUGGCACCUCGAUGUCGGCUCAUCACAUCCUGGGGCUGAAGUAGGUCCCAAGGGUAUGGCUGUUCGCCAUUUAAAGUGGUACGCGAGCUGGGUUUAGAACGUCGUGAGACAGUUCGGUCCCUAUCUGCCGUGGGCGCUGGAGAACUGAGGGGGGCUGCUCCUAGUACGAGAGGACCGGAGUGGACGCAUCACUGGUGUUCGGGUUGUCAUGCCAAUGGCACUGCCCGGUAGCUAAAUGCGGAAGAGAUAAGUGCUGAAAGCAUCUAAGCACGAAACUUGCCCCGAGAUGAGUUCUCCCUGACUCCUUGAGAGUCCUGAAGGAACGUUGAAGACGACGACGUUGAUAGGCCGGGUGUGUAAGCGCAGCGAUGCGUUGAGCUAACCGGUACUAAUGAACCGUGAGGCUUAACCUU
rnacentral:rRNA from 1 species